AACGAACGCUGGCGGCAUGCCUAACACAUGCAAGUCGAACGAGACCUUCGGGUCUAGUGGCGAACGGGUGCGUAACGCGUGGGAACCUGCCCUUAGGUUCGGAAUAACUCCCCGAAAGGGGUGCUAAUACCGGAUCAUGUCUUCGGACCAAAGAUUUAUCGCCUUUGGAUGGGCCCGCGUUGGAUUAGCUAGUUGGUAGGGUAAAAGCCUACCAAGGCGACGAUCCAUAGCUGGUCUGAGAGGAUGAUCAGCCACACUGGGACUGAGACACGGCCCAGACUCCUACGGGAGGCAGCAGUGGGGAAUAUUGGACAAUGGGCGAAAGCCUGAUCCAGCAAUGCCGCGUGAGUGAUGAAGGCCUUAGGGUUGUAAAGCUCUUUUACCCGGGAUGAUAAUGACAGUACCGGGAGAAUAAGCUCCGGCUAACUCCGUG
rnacentral:rRNA from 1 species